ACUAACUUGACUGUUCUACGAUCAGUAAGGUUAAGUUAUGAAGGGCGCAUGGUGAAUGCCUUGGUACUAGGAGCCGAUGAAGGACGGGACUAACACCGAUAUGCUUCGGGGAGCGGUAAGUACGCUUUGAUCCGGAGAUUUCCGAAUGGGGAAACCCAAUCAUCUUAGCCGAUGAUUACUUGAGCAGUGAA
rnacentral:misc_RNA from 1 species